rnacentral:snRNA from 1 species
GAAAUUCACUCUUUUAAUAAUUGUCCAGUAGGUUUUCUUUAAAAGGAAGCCCUG